AGGGAAUCUUCGGCAAUGGGGGCAACCCUGACCGAGCAACGCCGCGUGAGUGAAGAAGGUUUUCGGAUCGUAAAGCUCUGUUGUAAGUCAAGAACGGGUGUGAGAGUGGAAAGUUCACACUGUGACGGUAGCUUACCAGAAAGGGACGGCUAACUACGUGCCAGCAGCCGCGGUAAUACGUAGGUCCCGAGCGUUGUCCGGAUUUAUUGGGCGUAAAGCGAGCGCAGGCGGUUUGAUAAGUCUGAAGUUAAAGGCUGUGGCUCAACCAUAGUUCGCUUUGGAAACUGUCAAACUUGAGUGCAGAAGGGGAGAGUGGAAUUCCAUGUGUAGCGGUGAAAUGCGUAGAUAUAUGGAGGAACACCGGUGGCGAAAGCGGCUCUCUGGUCUGUAACUGACGCUGAGGCUCGAAAGCGUGGGGAGCGAACAGGAUUAGAUACCCUGGUAGUCCACGCCGUAAACGAUGAGUGCUAGGUGUUGGAUCCUUUCCGGGAUUCAGUGCCGCAGCUAACGCAUUAAGCACUCCGCCUGGGGGGUACGACCGCAAGGUUG
rnacentral:rRNA from 1 species